rnacentral:rRNA from 1 species
GAUGAACGCUGGCGGCGUGCCUAAUACAUGCAAGUCGAGCGAACGGACGAGAAGCUUGCUUCUCUGAUGUUAGCGGCGGACGGGUGAGUAACACGUGGAUAACCUACCUAUAAGACUGGGAUAACUUCGGGAAACCGGAGCUAAUACCGGAUAAUAUUUUGAACCGCAUGGUUCAAAAGUGAAAGACGGUCUUGCUGUCACUUAUAGAUGGAUCCGCGCUGCAUUAGCUAGUUGGUAAGGUAACGGCUUACCAAGGCAACGAUGCAUAGCCGACCUGAGAGGGUGAUCGGCCACACUGGAACUGAGACACGGUCCAGACUCCUACGGGAGGCAGCAGUAGGGAAUCUUCCGCAAUGGGCGAAAGCCUGACGGAGCGACGCCGCGUGAGUGAUGAAGGUCUUCGGAUCGUAAAACUCUGUUAUUAGGGAAGAACAUAUGUGUAAGUAACUUUGCACAUCUUGACGGUACCUAAUCAGAAAGCCACGGCUAACUACGUG